AUUAGAUACCCUGGGUAGUCCACGCCGUAAACGAUGAUUACUAGGUGUAGGUGGGUAUGGACCCAUCGGUGCCGCAGCCAACGCAGUAAGUAAUCCACCUGGGGAGUACGUUCGCAAGAAUGAAACUCAAAGGAAUUGACGGGGACCCGCACAAGCGGUGGAGCAUGUGGUUUAAUCCGAAGCAACGCGAAGAACCUUACCAAGUCUUGACAUCUGGAUGACGAAUCCGUAACGGGAUUUUCUCUUCGGAGCAUCCAAGACAGGUGGUGCAUGGUUGUCGUCAGCUCGUGUCGUGAGAUGUUGGGUUAAGUCCCGCAACGAGCGCAACCCUUAUCUUUAGUAGCCAGCGGUCAGGCCGGGCACUCUAGAGAGACUGCCGGGGAUAACCCGGAGGAAGGUGGGGAUGACGUCAAAUCAUCAUGCCCCUUAUGAUUUGGGCUACACACGUGCUACAAUGGCGUAAACAGAGGGAAGCGAGCCUGCGAGGGGGAGCGAAUCCCAAAAAUAACGUCCCAGUUCGGAUUGUAGUCUGCAACCCGACUACAUGAAGCUGGAAUCGCUAGUAAUCGCGGAUCAGAAUGCCGCGGUGAAUACGUUCCCGGGUCUUGUACACACCGCCCGUCACACCAUGGGAGUCGGAAAUGCCCGAAGCCGGUGACUCAACCUUUAAGGAGAGAGCCGUCGAAGGCAGGUCUGAUAACUGGGGUGAAGUCGUAACAAGGUAGC
rnacentral:rRNA from 1 species